AAGGAAAUUAAGUACGGAAGUUCCUGAUUUCACGCUGUCAAGAAAAGCCUCUAGGAAGAGUAGUACUGCCCGUACCGCAAACCGACACAGGUAGAUGAGGAGAGAAUCCUAAGGUGAGCGAGAGAACUCUCGUUAAGGAACUCGGCAAAAUGACCCCGUAACUUCGGGAGAAGGGGUGCUCUAUUAGGGUGCAAGCCCGAGAGAGCCGCAGUGAAUAGGCCCAGGCGACUGUUUAGCAAAAACACAGGUCUCUGCAAAACCGUAAGGUGACGUAUAGGGGCUGACGCCUGCCCGGUGCUGGAAGGUUAAGAGGAGUGCUUAGCUUCGGCGAAGGUACGAAUUGAAGCCCCAGUAAACGGCGGCCGUAACUAUAACGGUCCUAAGGUAGCGAAAUUCCUUGUCGGGUAAGUUCCGACCCGCACGAAAGGCGCAACGAUCUGGGCACUGUCUCAACGAGAGACUCGGUGAAAUUAUAGUACCUGUGAAGAUGCAGGUUACCCGCGACAGGACGGAAAGACCCCGUGGAGCUUUACUGCAACCUGAUAUGGAAUGUUUGUACCGCUUGUACAGGAUAGGUAGGAGCCGAAGAGACGUGUGCGCUAGCAUACGAGGAGGCAAUGGUGGGAUACUACCCUGGCUGUAUGACCAUUCUAACCCGCCACGCUUAGCGCGUGGGGAGACAGUGUCAGGUGGGCAGUUUGACUGGGGCGGUCGCCUCCUAAAGAGUAACGGAGGCGCCCAAAGGUUCCCUCAGAAUGGAUGGAAAU
rnacentral:rRNA from 1 species